rnacentral:rRNA from 1 species
UACGAGGGGGGCAAGCGUUGUUCGGAAUUAUUGGGCGUAAAGGGUGCGUAGGCGGUUUGGUAAGUCUGAUGUGAAAUCUAUGGGCUCAACUCAUAGUCUGCAUCGGAAACUGCCGGGCUUGAGUGUGGGAGAGGUGAGUGGAAUUCCUGGUGUAGCGGUGAAAUGCGUAGAUAUCAGGAAGAACACCCGUGGCUAAGGCGGCUCUCUAGUACGGUACUGACGCUGAGACGCGAAAGCGUGGGGAGCGAACAGG